GACGAACGCUGGCGGCGUGCUUAACACAUGCAAGUCGAGCGAGGCCCCUCCUUCGGGAGGGUGUCCUAGCGGCGAACGGGUGAGUAACACGUGGGCAACCUGCCCUCAGCUCUGGGAUAACUCCGGGAAACCGGGGCUAAUACCGGAUACGACCUCCACGGGCAUCUGCGGAGGUGGAAAGUUUUUCGGCUGAGGAUGGGCCCGCGGCCUAUCAGCUAGUUGGUGGGGUAGUGGCCCACCAAGGCGACGACGGGUAGCCGGCCUGAGAGGGCGACCGGCCACACUGGGACUGAGACACGGCCCAGACUCCUACGGGAGGCAGCAGUGGGGAAUAUUGCGCAAUGGGCGAAAGCCUGACGCAGCGACGCCGCGUGAGGGACGAAGGCCUUCGGGUUGUAAACCUCUUUCAGCAGGGACGAAGCGAAAGUGACGGUACCUGUAGAAGAAGCACCGGCCAACUACGUG
rnacentral:rRNA from 1 species